GUUAAGGUGGCAGAGCCCGGUAAUUGCAAAAGACCUAAGCCCUUUAGACAGAGGUUCAAACCCUCUCCUCAACU
rnacentral:tRNA from 1 species